UCCCGGCGCCACAAGUAGGGAUCAGGGUUAUUGGGCCUAAAGCGUUCGUAGCAGGUCUUGUAAAUCUCUUGUGAAAUCGUUGGGCUUAACCUAACGGCGUGCAGGAGAGACUGCUAGACUAGAGACCGGGAGGGGUCAGGGGUAUUCCUUGGGGAGCGGUAAAAUGCUAUAAUCCUUGGAAGACCACCUGUGGCGAAGGCGCCUGACCAGAACGGGUCUGACUGUGAGGGACGAAAGCCAGGGGAGCAAU
rnacentral:rRNA from 1 species